UACGUAGGGUGCGAGCGUUGUCCGGAAUUACUGGGCGUAAAGAGCUUGUAGGCGGUUUGUCGCGUCUUCUGUGAAAACUUGGGGCUCAACCUUAAGCUUGCAGGGGAUACGGGCAGACUAGAGUACUUCAGGGGAGACUGGAAUUCCUGGUGUAGCGGUGAAAUGCGCAGAUAUCAGAAGGAACAUCAGUGGCGAAGGCGGCUUCCUGGACCAAUACUGACGAUCAGGUGCGAAAGCGUGGGGAGCAAACAGG
rnacentral:rRNA from 1 species